UACGUAGGGGGCUAGCGUUGUCCGGAAUCAUUGGGCGUAAAGCGCGCGUAGGCGGCCAGAUAAGUCCGGUGUGAAAGCCACAGGCUCAACCUGUGAAUGCCGCUGGAAACUGUCUGGCUAGAGUCCGGGAGGGGCGAGUGGAAUUCCUGGUGUAGCGGUGAAAUGCGCAGAUAUCAGGAGGAACACCGGUGGCGAAGGCGGUUCUCUGGGCCUGUACUGACGCUGAGGAACGAAAGCGUGGGGAGCGAACAGG
rnacentral:rRNA from 1 species